rnacentral:misc_RNA from 1 species
GGUUGGAAGGAAACCCAGAAAGCAAAGAAUAAUCGUUUAACCAAAAUUCAGCUUUUCCUCCGACAAUAGAAGCUCAAAUCUCCACCAAAGAACCCUUCAACGACCCAGUAAGAAAAAGAGAGAACUUUACCCACACGGAGAGAAGAGGGAGAGAAAAAUCUUUUAAAGAGAGUCCAGAGAGACUUUUUGACAGAGAAAGAGCUUGUUUAUAGAGAGGUUUAUCAACCAUUGACGGGAGCCAUGGUAAAGUUUGACCAUUCUCUUUCCGCGCUCUCUCUCUCUCUCUCUGUAAAAAAAGAAAAAGUCUCAAUUUCUUCUCAGCUCAAGGGUCUC